rnacentral:rRNA from 1 species
GAUGAACGCUGGCGGCGUGCCUAAUACAUGCAAGUCGAGCGAACGGACGAGAAGCUUGCUUCUCUGAUGUUAGCGGCGGACGGGUGAGUAACACGUGGAUAACCUACCUAUAAGACUGGGAUAACUUCGGGAAACCGGAGCUAAUACCGGAUAAUAUUUUGAACCGCAUGGUUCAAAAGUGAAAGACGGUCUUGCUGUCACUUAUAGAUGGAUCCGCGCUGCAUUAGCUAGUUGGUAAGGUAACGGCUUACCAAGGCAACGAUGCAUAGCCGACCUGAGAGGGUGAUCGGCCACACUGGAACUGAGACACGGUCCCGACUCCUACGGGAGGCAGCAGUAGGGAAUCUUCCGCAAUGGGCGAAAGCCUGACGGAGCAACGCCGCGUGAGUGAUGAAGGUCUUCGGAUCGUAAAACUCUGUUAUUAGGGAAGAACAUAUGUGUAAGUAACUGUGCACAUCUUGACGGUACCUAAUCAGAAAGCCCCGGCUAACUACGUG